CUCUGGAACAAUACCACUUUGGGUUACAAUGUCACCAGAAAUCACAAACUAAACAGUGCUGGGACUGGUCAGUAUUUGAAUAGGAGACCUCUCAGAAAAACCCAGAUGCUGCAAGUA
rnacentral:rRNA from 1 species